CAGUUGGUUUCUCAUUUUUCCUGUGCUGUGCGACUCAGCCGGUGCUUCAUAAAGCUGCAGAAGAAAUGACAGUAUGGCUUGUUGGCUCGUGCACCCGGGAGAUUGGCUGGCAUCCUGUACUGUAAAUCAAUCUCUGUGAGAAUAAUGAUCCAUUUCAGGGUCUAAUGGCCUCUGUUGAUUGUUCAUCUGCCAGGAAAAUACUAUAUGGAUUAUACCGUGUCCUGAAGACAUUGUGAGAUGGGGAAGAAAAUGGCAACAUUCUUUAAUUCCACAGUGUGGAUCUGUAUGGGCACAUGAUGCUGCCUAUUCGACCCCCUCCACCAUUGAAGAAGGCGAGGAGCACUACUCGGGUUUGCAACACUCCGAGCUCCGUGACUGUUUUCAUCAAAGAGGAACACUUCCCUCCUUUGGAGACUCGCCCUUCCGUGGGAAGAUCCGCGGCGAGACACAACCGCAACACGAUCCGCUGCGCAUCCAUCGAUUUCAAUGUCACAUGUACACAAGUAUCAUAGCGUUUGCACGUGUGCAAGGAAUUUGUCUUGUUGGCGCAAUACAUCUGAUAAGGAAAAUUAUAAUACUUCAAAUGUAUUUAUCUUUGAAAAUAAAUUUGGGCCAGGUAUUUGCUUUUCUAAUUCACAAGAUGGAUUGCCAUGGAAUUUUGUUCACAUAUUCAUUGAUGUGUCCGAUUGGUUUAGGCGAUCCCGACUUUCCCUACAGCGCCACCAUGAGGUUGACAUUGGCAGUUUUGUCUCAAUUGGAUUCCAUUAAAAUUAAAAUUGAAUCGAUUAACUUUUCAUCUAGUGCUAUCAUCAGGUCAAAAAGGUUUACUCUUUAAUGUACUUUGUGUUUAGUGCCAAUGAGCAAAUGUUCACAUGCUAACCUAAAAUGGUGAACAUUACACCACAUGACACCGCUAAACAUCAGCACGUUAGCAUUUGAGUACAGCCACUAGCGUAGCUGUAGAAUCGAAGUUAUGAUUUCCUGGUAUGUUCAUGAAUCAAGUACACUCAUCACAAUAUCACUGGUGAUUUCAUCAAGGUAAAAUGUCAAGCUUUAACUGCUCCACACCCUAAAGAGUGCAGUACAUGACUUGUCCAGAUAGAUGAUUUAAUCAACAAUCUAUUCACGCACACGUUUCGGGAAGCUUUGAAACAAUCUUGCUCAUGCGAGUAAGC